rnacentral:tRNA from 1 species
AGCCCGGUCGUCUAGCGGUCAACCUCAAGGGCUAGGGAUGCCAGGCUCUGGACCUGGUGACGGCAGUUCGAAUCUGCCCCGGGCUACCA